rnacentral:rRNA from 1 species
AGAGAUAGUGGCGAAACGGGUGAGUAACACGUGGGUAACCUGCCCAUAAGAGGGGGAUAACAUCCGGAAACGGUGCUAAUACCGCAUAGUUUCUUGGUCGCAUGAUCGGGAAAGGAAAGACGGCCUUUGUGCUGUCGCUUAUGGAUGGACCCGCGGCGUAUUAGUUAGUUGGUGAGGUAACGGCUCACCAAGACGAUGAUACGUAGCCGACCUGAGAGGGUGAUCGGCCACAUUGGGACUGAGACACGGCCCAAACUCCUACGGGAGGCAGCAGUAGGGAAUCUUCCGCAAUGGACGAAAGUCUGACGGAGCAACGCCGCGUGAGUGAGGAAAAGGUUUUCGGAUCGUAAAACUCUGUUGUCAGAGAAGAACAAGUUGGAGAGUAACUGCUCCAGCCUUGACGGUAUCUGACCAGAAAGCCACGGCUAACUACGUGCCAGCAGCCGC